AAUCAAAAAAUUUCCCAUCCCACACUUAAAAUCAUACCCAAACAAUAAAUCAAUGAAUGAAGAAUAUAAAUACUCCUUGAGGCUUGUAGGCCUAGCUAGUAGCACGUCACUUCCUUUGAUUUCUAUUAUAGGGGCUGGGGGACCCCACACUUAUGCUUUCAUCACGAUACUUUGCUUAGAUUUUGGUUACAUAGAAUUUCCCUGAUCUGCAAAUACAAACAUAAACAAAAACAAAUGUGACAUUAAUAAAAAAGAACAAACUCAAAAAUAACUACUUACUAAUCAUUAGGUUGCCUCCCACAAGCACUUAAUUUACCAUCAUGACAUGAGAUAUAACCUUUUUCUCCACCUUGAGGAUUUGAAUUUCACCCCCAACUUUGUAUCCAUCAUUUUACUUUCCUCAAAAGGUG
rnacentral:lncRNA from 1 species